GGUUCGAUCAUGGCUCAGAUUGAACGCCAUGGGAUGCUUUAUGACAUGCAAGUCGAACGGCAGCACGGACUUCGGUUCUGGUGGCGAGUGGCGAACGGGUGAGAAGGGGCCGUAUCGGAACGUGCCUAGUAGCGGGGGAUAACUACGCGAAAGUUGCAGCUAAUACCGCAUAAUACCCUUUCGGGGGAAAGCGGGGGACCUCUCGGGCCUGCACUAUUAGAGCGGCUGAUAUCGGAUUAGCUAGCUGGUGGGCAACGGCUCACCGGGCGACGAUCCGUAGCUGGUUUGAGAGGACGACCAGCCACACUGGGACUGAGACACGGCCCAGACUCCUACGGAGGCAGCAGUGGGGAAUUCUUGGACAAUGGGGAAACCCUGAUCCAGCCAUCCUUGCUGCACGUGCGAUGAAGGCCUCGGGUUGUAAAGCACUUUUGGUGCAGUGAAAGAAACGGCACGGGAUAAUACCCCGUGCAACCGACGGUACCUGCAGAAUAAGCACCGGCUAACUACGUGCCAGCAGCCGCGGUACGUAGGUGCUGUUAAUCGGAAUUACUGGGCGGAAGCGUGCGCAGGCGGUUCGGAAAGAAAGAUGUGAAAUCCCAGAGCUUAACUUUGGAACCGCAUUUUUAACUACUGAGCUAGAGUGUGUCAGAGGGAGGUGGAAUUCGCGUGUAGCAGUGAAAUGCGUAGAUAUGUGGAGGAACACCGAUGGCGAAGUAGCCUCCUGGGAUAACACUGACGCUCAUGCACGAAAGCGUGGGGAGCAAACAGGAUUAGAUACCCUGUAGUCCACGCCCUAAACGAUGUCAACUAGCUGUUGGGGCCUUCUGGCCUUGGCAGCGCAGCUAACGCGUGAAGUUGACCGCCUGUGGGGAGUACGGUCGCAAGAUUAAAACCCAAAGGAAUUGAUGGGACCCGCACAAGCGGUGGAUGAUGUGAUUGUUAAUUCGAUGCACGCGAAAAACUCACCUACCUCGAUAUGUCUGGAAUCCCGAAGAGAUUUGGGAGUGCUCGCAAGAGAACCGAACACAGGUGCUGCAUGGCUGUCGUCAGCUCGUCGCGAGAUGUCGGGUUAAGUCCCGCAACGAGCGCAACCUUGUCAUUAGUUGCUACGAAAGGGCACACUUCAAUGAGACUCAUGGUGAUAAACCGGAGGAAGGUGGGGAUGACGUCAAGUCCUCAUGGCCCUUAUGGUAGGGCUUGCCACGUCAUACAAUGGUCGGGACAGAGGGUCGCCAACCCGCGAGGGGAGCCAAUCCCAGAAACCCGAUCGUAGUCCGGAUCGCAGUCUGCAACUCGACUGCGUGAAGUCGGAAUCGCCAGUAAUCGCGGAUCAGCAUGUCGCGGUGAAUACGUUCCCGGGUCUUGUACACACUGCCCGCCACACCAUGGGAGUGGGUUUUACCAGAAGUAGUUACCAACUGUAAGGAGGGAAGGAUUACCACGGUAGGAUUCAUGACUGGGGUGAAGUCGUAACAAGGUAA
rnacentral:rRNA from 1 species